UUUGGGAUGUAGAUCUAAUAGUGGUAUUAGUAGAUCAAAGGUUAUAUUUUUUUUAUAGCCCUUUGGACACAAUUCCAAAUUGCUCAACAGAAUGGUUGGAUCAGUUCACAACUCCACCAGGAAGACAUUAUUGAGCUGAAUUUUCAAGGAGCAUCAGGAAAUCAGGAACAUUCUGGGCAUGGAGAAAAGCCCAGAGGAAAAGCAUCCCUGAGGAAAAGAUAUUGAACCAGUCCAGAGGAAAAGAUUUUAAACCAGCGCAGAGGAAAAGAUUUUAAACCAUCCCAGAGGAAAAGCAUCAAGAAAAGUUGCUAGAGAGAAGAAACAAAGAGAAAAACUGAAAUGGACAGCUAAGACUUUGAACUUUGUAAAUUUGUUUAUAUGAAAAGAGGACAGAUGGGAAAUGGGACUUAUAUGUAAGACUGGGUGUGUUGAAAUAAUAAAACAAAAGUAAUUUCACA
rnacentral:lncRNA from 1 species